UAACAAGAAGAAGAAGAAAAAAA
rnacentral:sRNA from 1 species